rnacentral:rRNA from 1 species
AGACGAACCGGACAAACGUUAUUCGGAAUCAUUGGGCUUAAAGGGUGCGUAGGCGGUGCGGAAAGUUGGGUGUGAAAUCCCUCGGCUCAACCGAGGAACUGCGCUCAAAACUUCCGUGCUAGAGUGAGACAGAGGUGAGCGGAACUGAUGGUGGAGCGGUGAAAUGCGUUGAUAUCAUCAGGAACACCGGUGGCGAAGGCGGCUCACUGGGUCUCUACUGACGCUGAGGCACGAAAGCUAAGGUAGCGAACAGGAUUAGAAACCCCGGUAGUCC